rnacentral:rRNA from 1 species
UACGGGGGGAGCAAGCGUUGUUCGGAUUUACUGGGCGUAAAGGGAGCGUAGGUGGGCUGGUAAGUCAGUGGUGAAAUCUCCGGGCUUAACUCGGAAACUGCCGUUGAUACUAUCAGUCUUGAAUAUUGUGGAGGUAAGCGGAAUAUGUCAUGUAGCGGUGAAAUGCUUAGAUAUGACAUAGAACACCGAUAGCGAAGGCAGCUUGCUACACAAUUAUUGACACUGAGGCUCGAAAGCGUGGGGAUCAAACAGG